rnacentral:rRNA from 1 species
UUGGUGGGGUAAAAGCCUACCAAGGUAACGAUGCGUAGCCGGACUGAGAGGUUGACCGGCCACAUUGGGACUGAGAACGGCCCAAACUCCUACGGGAGGCAGCAGUAGGGAAUUUUCGGCAAUGGGGGGAACCCUGACCGAGCGAUGCCGCGUGAAUGACGAAGUUCUUCGGAAUGUAAAAUUCUUUUGUGUGGGAAGAAAAAGCAAUUAUUGACGGUACCACAAGAAUAAGCCCCGGCUAACUAUGUGCCAGCAGCCGCGGUAAUACAUAGGGGGCAAGCGUUAUCCGGAUUUACUGGGCGUAAAGGGUGCGUAGGUUGUUAUUUAAGUUUCUGGUAUAAGCACAAUGCUUAACGUUGUGAGGCUGGGAAAACUAGAUAGCUAGAGUAAGACAGAGGCAAGUGGAAUUCCAUGUGUAGCGGUAAAAUGCGUAAAUAUAUGGAGGAACACCAGUGGCGAAGGCGGCUUGCUGGGUCUUGACUGACGCUGAUGCACGAAAGCGUGGGGAGCAAACAGGAUUAGAUACCCUGGUAGUCCACGCCGUAAACGAUGAGUACUAAGUGUUGGCCAAAAAGGUCAGU